CCUACGGGUGGCAGCAGUGGGGAAUAUUGGGCAAUGGGCGCGAGCCUGACCCAGCAAAGCCGCGUGAAGGAAGAAGGCUCUCGGGUUGUAAACUUCUUUUCUCAGGGACGAAGCAAGUGACGGUACCUGAGGAAUAAGCCACGGCUAACUACGGGCCAGCAGCCGCGGGAAUACGGAGGUGGCAAGCGUUAUCCGGAUUUACUGGGUGUAAAGGGCGUGUAGGGGGGAAAGCAAGUCAGAUGUGAAAACCAUGGGCUCAACCUCUGGCCUGCAGUUGAAACUGUUGUUCUUGAGUACUGGAGAGGCAUACGGAAUGCCUAGUGUAGCGGUGAAAUGCGUAGAUAUUAGGAGGAACUCCAGUUGCGAAGGCGGUCUGCUGGACAGCAACUGACGCUGAGGCGCGAAAGCGUGGGGAGCAAACAGGAUUAGAUACCCCUGUAGUC
rnacentral:rRNA from 1 species